CAAUUGCUUAUAACCUUUUGGUUAUAAAUAGUUGUUAGUGGCAGACGGGUGAGUAAUGCGUAUGAAUCUACCUAGUAGUAUGGAAUACCCAUUAGAAAUGAUGGGUAAUACUGUAUAAUCCCUGCGGGGGAAAGAUUUAUCGCUAUUAGAUGAGCCUACGUUAGAUUAGCUAGUUGGUAAGGUAAUGGCUUACCAAGGCUAUGAUCUAUAGCUGGUCUGAGAGGACGAUCAGCCACACUGGAACUGAGAUACGGUCCAGACUCCUACAGGAGGCAGCAAUGGGGAAUAUUGGACAAUGGGCGAAAGCCUGAUCCACCUAUGCCGCGUGAGUGAAGAAGGCCUUCGGGUUGUAAAACUCUUUCAAUAGGGAAGAUAAUGACAGUACCUAUAGAAAAAGUCCCGGCAAACUG
rnacentral:rRNA from 1 species